UCAGAAGACUCAUUCCAAACUGAGAGGGCAAAUGUGUUGCUGCCACCACUGCCAGCCAUGACUGCUGCACAACUGGAACCAAAGUUCAGCAUGACCAUGCAAAAGAGACCCAGAGCUGUGACUGACAACCUGGAGCUGCCUGCCGUGGAUAACCCUGCCAGGAAGCAGGAUGGAUUCUUAGCCAAGCACAGGAAAGUGGAGGAAGACCCCGAGGAGAAAUCCCAGGACAUCACCAUUGGUAUCCAGGAGAGCUGGUGGGAGUAUUCCUGCAACCCAGGCGUGCUGUGUGAUGCACUGCAGAAACAUCCUCUCAGAUAAGUCACCAUUUCUGACUGUAGGCAACUGCAACGAAAAGGAGUGUGUGUAUAAAAAGGAGUGUGUUUAUAAAAAGAAAAGGACUGCAGCCUGGGCCUUCGAUUUUAUAUCAUGUAGAGAAAAUUAUUGCAUUUAUAGGUUAAAAAUUAGAUUUUCCUGGCUGUUUAUAAAAAAUUUGGCAGUUUAAUGAUGGCUCAGGGUGUGGGGUCUAUGAUAUUUGGGGGUGAGGGAGUAUGUGUCAGUGUUCUGUCUUAGGCCAGACUGUGCACAGUGCAUUAGCUGCCUUCUAACUGCUUGCUUUUUCCUGAUCAUUUUCCUGCUUCCAGCCCUCACUGCACUCCCAGCUAUUGAGCAAGAAAAUCUGCUGAUGAAUUUCUCUGUGCUUGGGAAAAGUUGAAUGGUGCAAAGCAUUGUGAGCUGCCAGGGAUCUGCAGGGCAUGAGAAGAAUCCUUUUCCAGUGACUUCUGUGCCACAUGAAGCCAAGACAAGAACACCUGAAGUUAGGACAAGUUUGCUGCUGAACAAAGCCAAGUGAGGGGACCAAGAGCCGGCCUUACCUCACAUAGAGAAUGAUGCAGAACGUUCAGUGACCAAGUGCCUUAACUGGGUCUCCAGGAUGUAAAUAGUUCCAAGUUCUCUAUUCCAUCAAAACCUUACCAACAGUUCUGUUUACUGUUCAAUGCAAAACACCUGCUUUUUUAAAUUUGUUUUGAUUUGUUUUAAAUACAGUUCUAUAUUCUUUUGGUUAAUUUUGCAAAGCUUUGUGGUUUUUGAGUGUAAUGCAUUUCUAUCUGGCGAAAGAAGAGAUAGGAUUGGUGUCAGCCAUUAAAAUAAAACUGUGGAGAGGAGGAUGGUAUCCCAAAAUCAUUGUGAUGACAGGAAAGAACAUCUCCCUUUUCUACAUCAUUUCAUGAUGUAGGAACAGCUUAGCGACAUACUGAAAUAAAGUUCCUCUUGGUUUUGUGGUUGCUCCAGCUGCCUGCCUGUGGUGACUCACACAGCCACAUUUCCCAACAAUCUUUUGGAUACUGCCAUGAACAAAGACCAGACUCCCAGGGAAGUUCCCCCUGAAGUGGAAGAAAAGCAAUCCUUAUCUCUGAGGUCUAAGCAUGUGGGGCAUCUGCCUGCAUCUGUCAGCCCCAGACUUUCCAGAGCCCUGGCUGCAGAAACCCUCGGGGUUCACAAGCACUGACAGUGAUUCUGGCAGCCAGCGCCGCCCUCCAGUGGGGGCUGUUUGAACUCCAUUCUACAAUGGCUUUCUUUUUUGGGCUUGAUAAAUGCAUUUAGAGUGCAUGGAUGGGCAUCUCACCCCAUGACUCCAUCUAAAUUCCAGAAAAUCAGUCUAAAAUCUUCACAAACCAUGACUUACCUUUUUGUAGGAAUUACUUGGAAAAAAUAAGGGACUCUGUCAAUAUAGAAAUAUUGAUUCUAAAUUUAUA